rnacentral:misc_RNA from 1 species
AAUGCAACAUGGAUGUUAACUGUAAGUAUUUGUUUUGUCCCAUUUAAUUACUUAUAAGGAAAAAAGAAAAGCUUAUGUAAUUAAGUUGAUUGGAUAAGGACAUACAGUAAAUUUUGGAUAGCCUAAAUGAUCAUGACAUGCUUCUUGCUUAUGGCUAGAUCAUGGUAAUGGUAAGUCAGGGAAAAUGAUUUGACAAUUCUUUUGUCAACAAGAUAAUCCAUCGUGCCAUUUAUAAGAAGGCAUUUUGAAUUCCAGUUGUGUCAACCACUCACCAUCAUGAUUUUGAAUAAUGUAAUGGCCGUUAUUUACGGAUUUUUAAGGAGCCGUUACCCUUUACUCCGUUAUUUAAAAGAAGAUGCUGUAUUGCAUUAGUAAUGGCUGUUACCAUUAACGGCCAUUAUUUACCAUUAAGUAAUGGUAACGACUAUUAUUUCAAUAAUUCAGUUGACAAAGAAUAUAUGCAUACAGUGUUUUCUUUAGUUUUUUUUUAUUCUUUGUGUAUUCUAAUCUUCCAACUACUAUUUCUGUCACAUUUUUUCUCAAAAUUUCACCUAAACUUCCCAUUCUUUCUACAAAUCUCUUCCUUAUUCUUUUUUAGGGUAAGUUCAUCAAAUAUUCAUACUCCACAACUACUUCUUGCAAAAGGUGAGUAUUAUUUGUUAUUUUUUUGCAUAUGUGUUGAAGAAAAUUUUGUUUGAUAUUAGGUUUGUUGUUAAAUUUAUAAUAUGAAGCAUUGGAUUGCCCGAUCUAUAGGUUUAUGUA